rnacentral:misc_RNA from 1 species
AUGAAUUCAUCGUCGGUAUUCUUCAUGGUGUGCUUUUGUUGCUUAUGUUCGGUAUUGAUUCAAAUUAUCUACACAUGGUUGAGCCUCCAAGCCUCCAAGAAUUCUGUUUGUACAUUAGAUCGGGUAUCAAAGUAUUUUUACUUCCGCGCUAAAUGCUUUUUUGAUUGCAAUUUUUGACACAGACGCUGCUAUAACCUCCUUUGCAAUUUUUGAUAGAAUAAGAAAAUGGAAUUCAUGCUUUUUUCCACCAAUUAGCAAUUGGAAAAGGGGAACCAAAACUAUCAACAAACUCAUAUGCAGUUGUUAGAUAAAGGUCAAGUUUAGACAUAUUGCCUAAUCCCCUUGUUUUUUUAGUCUUUGAAACAACAUUUGUUGCCCUUGCUGGCUUUGCAUGGAUGAUUGAUCAUUUGAUUGAGAAAAAGAUUGAGAGGCAUAUUGGG